rnacentral:tRNA from 2 species
GCCUCCUUAGCUCAGCUGGUAGAGCAGCUCACUCGUAAUGAGCAGGUCGCGGGUUCGAGUCCCGUGGGAGGCU